UAACGCGAAGAACCUUACCUGGUCUUGACAUCCACGGAAGUUUUCAGAGAUGAGAAUGUGCCUUCGGGAACCGUGAGGCAGGUGCUGCAUGGCUGUCGUCAGCUCGUGUUGUGAAAUGUUGGGUUAAGUCCCGCAACGAGCGCAACCCUUAUCCUUUGUUGCCAGCGGUCCGGCCGGGAACUCAAAGGAGACUGCCAGUGAUAAACUGGAGGAAGGUGGGGAUGACGUCAAGUCAUCAUGGCCCUUACGACCAGGGCUACACACGUGCUACAAUGGCGCAUACAAAGAGAAGCGACCUCGCGAGAGCAAGCGGACCUCAUAAAGUGCGUCGUAGUCCGGAUUGGAGUCUGCAACUCGACUCCAUGAAGUCGGAAUCGCUAGUAAUCGUGGAUCAGAAUGCCACGGUGAAUACGUUCCCGGGCCUUGUACACACCG
rnacentral:rRNA from 1 species